rnacentral:rRNA from 1 species
CCCUACGGGGCGCAGCAGUGGGGGAUAUUGCACAAUGGGGGAAACCCUGAUGCAGCGACGCCGCGUGGGCGAAGAAGUAUUUCGGUAUGUAAAGCCCUAUCAGCAGGGAAGAAGAAAUGACGGUACCUGAGUAAGAAGCACCGGCUAAAUACGUGCCAGCAGCCGCGGUAAUACGUAUGGUGCAAGCGUUAUCCGGAUUUACUGGGUGUAAAGGGAGCGUAGACGGCUAAUCAAGUCAGAAGUGAAAACCCAGGGCUCAACCUUGGGAGUGCUUUUGAAACUGAGUAGAUAGAGUGCAGGAGAGG